rnacentral:rRNA from 1 species
GAUCAUGGCUCAGGAUGAACGCUGGCGGCGCGCCUAACACAUGCAAGUCGAACGGACGAUGAAAAGCUUGCUUUUCAAAGUUAGUGGCGGACGGGUGAGUAACGCGUGGGUAACCUGCCUCACACAGGGGGAUAACAGUUAGAAAUGACUGCUAAUACCGCAUAACCCGAUAGGAUCGCAUGAUCCAGACGGAAAAGAUUUAUCGGUGUGAGAUGGACCCGCGUCUGAUUAGCUAG